rnacentral:rRNA from 1 species
GAGUUUGAUCCUGGCUCAGAUUGAACGCUGGCGGCAUGCCUUACACAUGCAAGUCGAACGGCAGCACGGGGGCAACCCUGGUGGCGAGUGGCGAACGGGUGAGUAAUACAUCGGAACGUGUCCUGUAGUGGGGGAUAGCCCGGCGAAAGCCGGAUUAAUACCGCAUACGCUCUACGGAGGAAAGGGGGGGAUCUUAGGACCUCCCGCUACAGGGGCGGCCGAUGGCAGAUUAGCUAGUUGGUGGGGUAAAGGCCUACCAAGGCGACGAUCUGUAGCUGGUCUGAGAGGACGACCAGCCACACUGGGACUGAGACACGGCCCAGACUCCUACGGGAGGCAGCAGUGGGGAAUUUUGGACAAUGGGGGAAACCCUGAUCCAGCAAUGCCGCGUGUGUGAAGAAGGCCUUCGGGUUGUAAAGCACUUUUGUCCGGAAAGAAAACCUCUGGGUUAAUACCCCGGGGGGAUGACGGUACCGGAAGAAUAAGCACCGGCUAACUACGUGCCAGCAGCCGCGGUAAUACGUAGGGUGCAAGCGUUAAUCGGAAUUACCGGGCGUAAAGCGUGCGCAGGCGGUCCGCUAAGACAGAUGUGAAAUCCCCGGGCUUAACCUGGGAACUGCAUUUGUGACUGGCGGGCUAGAGUAUGGCAGAGGGGGGUAGAAUUCCACGUGUAGCAGUGAAAUGCGUAGAGAUGUGGAGGAAUACCGAUGGCGAAGGCAGCCCCCUGGGCCAAUACUGACGCUCAUGCACGAAAGCGUGGGGAGCAA